UGGGGGGUCAAAUUGCUGCAAGUUUUGUAUAAAUUGACAUUGAUUUUACAUAUAUCCUUAUUGGUCAAUCAAUUUUUCCCAAAUUAAGUUAAGAGGGGGACAGGGGGUCAGUGAAAAAACUAUGUGAAUUAAGUUUUUUAUCCUGCAUUGAACUUUUGAUGUCGUCCCUUAUACUCUUCAGAAUGAUAGAUAGUUAAUGGCUGUGUAACUUAUUACCAUCUCAUGUUCUCAACUAAGACUUUCUGUAUACAUUAUUAUUAGAAUCCAUUUAAAUGGGAAUCAAUAUUAUCAUUUAAAUGGGAGUCAAUAUUAUAAUUUAAAUGGGAAUCAAUAUUAUAAUUUAAAU
rnacentral:lncRNA from 1 species